UUUAUGUCUUGCACCAUGAAUGACAAGAGUGUUUCCCAAUGGGAAGGCACAAUACUGUUGGGGUAUCUUUCAGAGGUCAACAAAACAGAAAUGUCCUAGGAAAAGUUAGUAACAACAUGGAGUGAAUCUGCCAAUUUUCUUUUCUAAGAAAGAGGUAAACAUUUUAUAGGUAAAAUUUAUCUUUACUUUUGCAGAUAGGAAAACAAAACAAAACAAAACAAAACAAAACAAACAACUUACUGCCUUUCCACUGGGACAAAUCAAAGAGCUUCCAGUAAACUACCAAAGAGAGGCCACGUGACAGCCCACUGGUUUCAGCAGUACCUUUACGUGAAGGUCUAGAGAGCGCCUGUCCCACUGGUCACAUGCUGUGAGGCGCUGCCCAGAUGGCUGUAUGAAGGGCUUCAUUCUGUCCUGAGCUGGCUGGGGAGAGGCACUGAGCUGCAGCCCGGCCUGGGGGCUCCAAGACGCCAUUCCCAGGACCUGCUGAUCUCCAUCCGGCUGUAGGGACCGUGGAUUAUGAGCUGGAAGGAGCACCGGAUGGACUAUGGAACAGAAAGACACCUAUACUUGGAAACAGACACCUACAAGUCUUGUGAGCAAAGCUGCUACGCCAGCUCAGGCUUUUAUGUGACAGAGAAAAUAAACUUGUUUGAAUCAUUGUUAGUGUGUAUUUUGUUACACACAGGCCAAAUCUAAUGCUAAUACAGAGACAAACAUG